rnacentral:rRNA from 1 species
UGAUUAGAUACCCCACUAUGCUCAGCCCUAAAUCUUGAUACUUGGUCUACUAAAGUAUCCGCCCGAGAACUACGAGCACAAACGCUUAAAACUCUAAGGACUUGGCGGUGCCCUAAACCCACCUAGAGGAGCCUGUUCUAGUA